UGGCUCAGAUUGAACGCUGGCGGUAUGCUUAACACAUGCAAGUCGAACGGUAGAUACUUCGGUAUGUCAAGUGGCGGACGGGUGAGUAACGCGUAGGAAUCUGCCUAGUAGUGGGGGACAACUUGGGGAAACUCAAGCUAAUACCGCAUACGCCCUACGGGGGAAAGCGGGGGUUCUUGAAAGCUCUUGCUAUUGGAUGAGCCUGCAUGAGAUUAGCUAGUUGGUAGGGUAAAGGCCUACCAAGGCGACGAUCUCUAGCUGGUCUGAGAGGACGAUCAGCCACACUGGGACUGAGACACGGCCCAGACUCCUACGGGAGGCAGCAGUGGGGAAUAUUGGACAAUGGGCGCAAGCCUGAUCCAGCAAUACCGCGUGUGUGAAGAAGGCCUUAGGGUUGUAAAGCACUUUCUGCAGUUAAGAAAUCUUAAGGUUAAUAGCCUUGAGUCUUGACGUUAACUACACAAGAAGCACCGGCUAACUCCGUGCCAGCAGCCGCGGUAAUACGGGGGGUGCAAGCGUUAAUCGGAUUUACUGGGCGUAAAGCGCGCGUAGGUGGUUUAGCAAGUUGGAUGUGAAAGCCCCGGGCUCAACCUGGGAAUUGCAUCCAAAACUGCUAAGACUAGAGAGUAGAGAGGGAAGUGGAAUUCCGGGUGUAGCGGUUAAAUGCGUAGAUAUCCGGAGGAACACCAGUGGCGAAGGCGGCUUCCUGGACUAACACUGACGCUGAGGUGCGAAAGCGGGGGGAGCAAACAGGAUUAGAUACCCUGGUAGUCCACGCCGUAAACGAUGUCAACUAGCCGUUGGGAGGAUUGCCCGCUUAGUGGUGCAGCUAACGCAAUAAGUUGACCGCCUGGGGAGUACGGCCGCAAGGCUAAAUCUCAAAUGAAUUGACGGGGGCCCGCACAAGCGGUGGAGCAUGUGGUUUAAUUCGAUGCAACGCGAAGAACCUUACCUACCCUUGACAUCCAGAGAAUCUGUUAGAGAUAGUAGAGUGCCUUCGGGAAUUCUGUGACAGGUGCUGCAUGGCUGUCGUCAGCUCGUGUCGUGAGAUGUUGGGUUAAGUCCCGUAACGAGCGCAACCCUUAUCCUUAGUUGCCAGCACAUAAUGGUGGGAACUCUAGGGAGACUGCCGGUGAUAAACCGGAGGAAGGUGGGGACGACGUCAAGUCAUCAUGGCCCUUAUGGGUAGGGCUACACACGUGCUGCAAUGGCUGGUACAGAGGGUCGCUAACUUGCGAGAGUACGCUAAUCCCUUAAAGCCGGUCCUAGUCCGGAUUGGAGUCUGCAACUCGACUCCAUGAAGCUGGAAUCGCUAGUAAUCGCGGAUCAGAAUGCCGCGGUGAAUUCGUUCCCGGGCCUUGUACACACCGCCCGUCACACCAUGGGAGUGGGUUGCAAAAGAAGUGGGUAGGCUAACCUUCGGGAGGCCGCUCACCACUUUGUGAUUCAUGACUGGGGUGAAGUCGUAACAAGGUAGCCGGC
rnacentral:rRNA from 1 species